rnacentral:rRNA from 1 species
GAUGAACGCUGGCGGCGUGCCUAAUACAUGCAAGUCGAGCGAAUGGAUUAAGAGCUUGCUCUUAUGAAGUUAGCGGCGGACGGGUGAGUAACACGUGGGUAACCUGCCCAUAAGACUGGGAUAACUCCGGGAAACCGGGGCUAAUACCGGAUAACAUUUUGAACCGCAUGGUUCGAAAUUGAAAGGCGGCUUCGGCUGUCACUUAUGGAUGGACCCGCGUCGCAUUAGCUAGUUGGUGAGGUAAAGGCUCACCAAGGCAACGAUGCGUAGCCGACCUGAGAGGGUGAUCGGCCACACUGGGACUGGGGCCCGGCCCAGACUCCUACGGGAGGCAGCAGUAGGGAAUCUUCCGCAAUGGACGAAAGUCUGACGGAGCAACGCCGCGUGAGUGAUGAAGGCUUUCGGGUCGUAAAACUCUGUUGUUAGGGAAGAACAAGUGCUAGUUGAAUAAGCUGGCACCUUGACGGUACCUAACCAGAAAGCCACGGCUAACUACGUGCCAGCAGCCGCAGUAA